CCCAUGCUCCUGCACAGUUUACAACAUUGUUUGUUCUAAUUGUGCCAUGAUUGGUUUCAACAGAUUGAACUCGUUUUAAACCAAGCAUGACAACUUUUCCUGCACCAAGUUUAGAAAGAUGAUAAGCUGUGCUGCAUCCAACACUGCCAGCCCCUAUGACAACCACAUCUGCUUCAUUGGUGAGGGUGUAGUAGAGAUGCAAUGUGUUGUAUGCCAACUAGAGUUAUGUCCUUGGCUUUCCUGUAACAGUAAUGAACUGCUUUUGGUUGGUGAUAUCUGCAAUAUUCUUCACCACUUUAGUGUUGGACCACAUACUAGCAAUAAAAAGUUUCUUAGUGUCUCACAAAGAAUGGGAAAGUUCUAUACAUGUUGGUUUUGACAUACCAAAGCGGUGACUUAAAAACAAAAAUAAUUUCCGACGAGUGAAACGCGUAUCCACACACGCCGUCUACGCUGUUCCAUUCAAUACAUGCUUCCCCUCCGAAAGGAUAUGCGCUGUUGUACAGAUAUAACGGAGCUUGGCCGGAAACUUUUGCAGCAGUUGACGAAACGGACGCAAAUCUGUUGGAAUAUAUCCAAUCGUCAGCUACACGAUCGAAAUGUCCGAAGGUCAAAGUUGCCGUCAUUAUACAUGGUCGGAAUGUUAAGGUCAGGAUGCUGUGACGCUUAACCUUUUUAAUUACCUCGUCGCCUUGGCGACAAAACGGGUUAAUUAAACAGUGGUGAUUGGAAGCAUGAAGUGCAAAUGUUAUACGAGACAGAAUUAGCACUUACGAGACCGCUAAACAAUUGAAUCUUGCAGUCCUGCACAAAGUACUUAAGAUUUUGUCACGUAGGCUGCAUGUGCACCUGUAAUAUUUAUUCUGUUUUUAUCAGCUAAUUUACAAAAUGCGUUUGUAAAUAGAGUUCAUUUUGGA